GACGAACGCUGGCGGCGUGCUUAACACAUGCAAGUCGAACGGGAUCCUUCCUUCUUUUUUGGUUGGUUGGUGAGAGUGGCGAACGGGUGAGUAACACGUGAGUAACCUGCCCUGGACUUUGGGAUAACAUUCGGAAACGGGUGGUAAUACUGGAUAUUCUGCUUGGGUCGCAUGAUUCUUGUGGGAAAGGUUUUUUCUGGUUUGGGAUGGGCUCGCGGCCUAUCAGUUUGUUGGUGGGGUGAUGGCCUACCAAGGCUUUGACGGGUAGCCGGCCUGAGAGGGUGGGCGGUCACACUGGGACUGAGAUACGGCCCAGACUCCUGCGGGAGGCAGCAGUGGGGGAUAUUGCACAAUGGACGCAAGUCUGAUGCAGCGACGCCGCGUGGGGGAUGACGGCCUUCGGGUUGUAAACCUCUUUCGCUUGUGGAAAAGGCACUGCUUUGGUGGUGUUGAUGGUAGUGGGUGAAGAAGUACCGGCUAACUACGUGCCAGCAGCCGCGGUAAUACGUAGGGUACUAGCGUUGUCCGGAAUUAUUGGGCGUAAAGGGCUUGUAGGUGGCUGGUUGCGUCUGUCGUGAAAACCUGUGGCUUAACCAUGGGCUUGCGGUGGGUACGGGCUGGCUUGAGUGCGGUAGGGGAGAUUGGAAUUCCUGGUGUAGCGGUGAAAUGCGCAGAUAUCAGAGGAAUACCGGUGGCGAACGCGGGUCUCUGGGCCGUUACUGACACUGAGGAGCGAAAGCGUGGGGAGCGAACAGGAUUAGAUACCCUGGUAGUCCAUGCUGUAACGUUGGGCACUA
rnacentral:rRNA from 1 species